CCUACGGGAGGCAGCAGUGAGGAAUAUUGGACAAUGGGCGCAAGCCUGAUCCAGCCAUGCCGCGUGCAGGAAGACGGUCCUAUGGAUUGUAAACUGCUUUUGUACGGGAAGAAACACUCCUUCGUGAAGGAGCUUGACGGUACCGUAAGAAUAAGGAUCGGCUAACUCCGUGCCAGCAGCCGCGGUAAUACGGAGGAUCCAAGCGUUAUCCGGAAUCAUUGGGUUUAAAGGGUCCGUAGGCGGUUUAGUAAGUCAGUGGUGAAAGCCCAUCGCUCAACGGUGGAACGGCCAUUGAUACUGCUAGACUUGAAUUAUUAGGAAGUAACUAGAAUAUGUAGUGUAGCGGUGAAAUGCUUAGAGAUUACAUGGAAUACCAAUUGCGAAGGCAGGUUACUACUAAUGGAUUGACGCUGAUGGACGAAAGCGUGGGUAGCGAACAGGAUUAGAUACCCUGGUAGUCCACGCCGUAAACGAUGGAUACUAGCUGUUGGGGGUACAACUUCAGUGGCUAAGCGAAAGUGAUAAGUAUCCACCUGGGGAGUACGUUCGCAAGAAUAGAAGUUANAAGAAGUUAGAGGNGNGNGNGNGCGAGCGACGACGAGGGAGAGG
rnacentral:rRNA from 1 species